AAUCGGGGAAAUUAAAGCGGCCCAAUGACUUGGUCAAGAAGGCUUUAUAUGACUUCUUGGUAGAACCAAUGUUAGAACACCAAGUGAAAGCC